UAACCUAGCGGCGGACGGGUGAGUAAUGCUUAGGAAUCUGCCUAUUAGUGGGGGACAACAUUCCGAAAGGAAUGCUAAUACCGCAUACGCCCUACGGGGGAAAGCAGGGGAUCUUCGGACCUUGCGCUAAUAGAUGAGCCUAAGUCAGAUUAGCUAGUUGGUGGGGUAAAGGCCUACCAAGGCGACGAUCUGUAGCGGGUCUGAGAGGAUGAUCCGCUACACUGGGACUGAGACACGGCCCAGACUCCUACGGGAGGCAGCAGUGGGGAAUAUUGGACAAUGGGCGAAAGCCUGAUCCAGCCAUGCCGCGUGUGUGAAGAAGGCCUUUUGGUUGUAAAGCACUUUAAGCGAGGAGGAGGCUACUUAGAUUAAUACUCUAGGAUAGUGGACGUUACUCGCAGAAUAAGCACCGGCUAACUCUGUGCCAGCAGCCGCGGUAAUACAGAGGGUGCGAGCGUUAAUCGGAUUUACUGGGCGUAAAGCGUGCGUAGGCGGCUUUUUAAGUCGGAUGUGGAAUCCCUGAGCUUAACUUAGGAAUUGCAUUCGAUACUGGGAAGCUAGAGUAUGGGAGAGGAUGGUAGAAUUCCAGGUGUAGCGGUGAAAUGCGUAGAGAUCUGGAGGAAUACCGAUGGCGAAGGCAGCCAUCUGGCCUAAUACUGACGCUGAGGUACGAAAGCAUGGGGAGCAAACAGGAUUAGAUACCCUGGUAGUCCAUGCCGUAAACGAUGUCUACUAGCCGUUGGGGCCUUUGAGGCUUUAGUGGCGCAGCUAACGCGAUAAGUAGACCGCCUGGGGAGUACGGUCGCAAGACUAAAACUCAAUGAAUUGACGGGGCCCCGCACAAGCGG
rnacentral:rRNA from 1 species